CAUUCUGACCAGCCAACUCAAAACUUUUGAUGAGAGCCAUCAGAGCAAUAAAAUUUCUUCAGCUUCUUUCUACAAUUUUAACAGCUCUUUUCCAUUUUUCUCAAGGUGUAAUUCCAGGAACAUAAAGGGACAGCGGGCUUGGGCUUCUUUAUUUUUUCAACCAGCACAGCUUGAGUUGUUAGAACUAUCCCAGCAAUUGAGAAGAUCUUCGUAUCUACCAGUCAUUGCAUUGUAACCAAUUCUCCAGUCACAAGAUCGAAUAUUCUCCACCACAACUGCUCCAUCAAUCCCUGCAUUAGUUGCAAUUGUUUUUGCAGGUGCAAGAAGUGCCUGUAAUGCAUCAUUGGUACGUGUUACUACAUGGGAGAAGAAAUUUCCCCUUAUAGUAAUUUAGAAACCACUACUUGGAGGGUUUCUCCAUGCUACGCCCUGCAUUUAUAACCAUUUCACAAGGAUGUCCAACUGUAUCACUAAUUAUGAAAGGAACCUUGGUCCGUUUUACAAGUCUUGUGCAAUAAUCUGCUUUAGCACAAACGCUGCAUGGUAACUCAUUCACAGACGCUGCUUAUUUCUAUUUGAGACGCAACAUUCACCAAUCCAAAUAAAGAAAUGAGCAUAAAAGGCACAUCUCACAAAAGAAAAGAAAGUCACCUUAGAUCAAAUCCUAGUGAGGCGAAAGUGUGAAGAAAAUAACUUUUGAAAAAAGAAAGGAACCGAGAACAGACCUUUGCAACAAUAUCAGCACCAAUCUUCUCAUUUUCAUCUUUCAUGGAAUUUUUUAUUGAGGAGAUCUGCUCCGAGAGAUGUACAUAUGUUGCACCACCACCAGGUACUAUCCCUUCAUCCAUGGCAGCAAAUGUAGCAUUCUUUGCAUCUUCAAUUCUGAGUUUCCUAUCUUCAAGUUCUGUCUCCGUGUGUGCUCCUACCUAAAUUUGCAUGCUAAACAAGUUAAAUCUAAAGAUAACUUUAAAAUAAAACACCAUCAAACAAAAUAUUAGAGUCCUGUCGUUUGUCCUAGUAUUUCUUAAGGAAAACAGGGCAGAAAAUUCAUCCCUGCUACUGAGCUAACGCUACACAAGGAGCCUAUGUCCUUAGCAGUAAUUCUUCACACUUAUAGCCAGAUUUGUCAAGAUGCCCAUCUAUUUUUCCGAAAUAUAUUGUAUACAACUUUAGCAAUUCUUUCUGAGAGCUUGAUCACAAACCUUGAUGACAGCCACACCACCAGAUAAUUUAGCAAUUCUCUCUGAGAGCUUUCUUGAAAGGGCAGCAUUAUCUGUUUCAGCGAGGUCCUUUUUUAUCUGAAGAAUUCUUGCCUGAAUUUCAGCUUUGGUAGCUGAGUCAGCAACUAUGGUUGUUGAAUUACUUGUUAUGGUAACUUUUCGUGCAAUGCCAAGUUGAUCCGAGGUUACACUUCCGAGUGUCAGCCCAAAAUCACCAGAGAGAAAAUCAGCACCUGAUGGUUUUGGUAUGGCAUGAAUUACACAGCAUAUCAGAUGCAAUGACCUUCCUAUGAUAGUCAUAUGAGAACAGAAUACAAUCUUGCGCAAGCAUCCAAGUAAAGAAUUUAUUAUUUGUAGUGCAUAAAAAGUAAUUAUAAUUUUUUUAAUUGAGGCCUCGGUACUGAUCAAAGGAUUUUACAAUCUUAACAAAGCAUCCAAGUAAAACAUUUAUUGUUUCUAGUGCAUGAAAAAGAGUAACAGUUCUUAUAAUUGAGGAGAGUAACGAUUCUUAUACUUGAGACCUAGGUAAUUAUCAAAGGAUAUCUUAAUUAACAUGAUAUACUCAAAAGUUUAUGCACCUGCAAGGGUCAUACACAAACAUAUAAGAACAUCCAGUGCACACAUAGGAAGGCUCGCAUAUGUAACACGAACCCAACUCACGAGGAAGAUAAAUAAUUCAUUAACUGAUAUGUCAAUAUAUUUCAAUAUAGCACAACUUACAAUAACCAAUUUAAGUUGGAAAGAAAGAUGCAAGUUCACCUGUCACAAGAGGUCACAAGAGCAAUGUCUUGCAACAAUGCUUUCUUUCGAUCUCCAAAUCCGGGGCAUUUGACAACAGCAACAUUGAGCAAACCUUUCAUUUUGUUCACCACUAGUGUUUCCAAAACCAGCUUUGAGAUAUCCUCAGCAAUGAUUGACAAUGGGACACUGAGUUGGGUAGUCUUCUCCAACACAGGAACUAUUUCUUGGACAUUUGCAAUCUUCUGAUCCGUUACAAGGACUUUGGCCUUGUCAAACUCCACCAAAGAUUUUUCCUGGUUUGUGAUGAAUUGGGGUGACAUCUAACCCUUGUCAAACUGCAGAGAAAGAACACCAAACUUAACUGGAAAUGAAAACAUACAUACUUCAUAAACAGAGAAAAAGUUGAAAAAUUUAUCCACUCAUAGGAGGCAUAGUGUUUACACAAGUAUUGCUACCCUGUUACUGAAAAUACAAAAUAGUUAACCUGGAAAGUACAAAGAGCAGAAGCUCAACCAACCUAAAUAUUUACAGAUAAUGAAUGGUUUAACCAUUCAGACUAUGACUAAUGAUAAAACAUAAAAUCAUAAACUUCUAACAUAAACUUUGAUGUAAUGCCAAUUUUCCAGUGAUUUAUCUGACAAGAUUUUACACUGUGUCUGGGUGUUGGGGUGUCUGGGUGUUGGUCCUCCAUGGUUGGUGUAACAGUAUUAAAUGUGCACGCUUCGGCAGGCUGGCAAAUAACCCCGUGACAGUUGGCCUCUCAACUCUAUAUAUGUUGACCUUGUCUAAAGCAACAUUUUUGAUCCAGCCCAGCCCGUACUGGCUGGGUCAGACCUAGCACAAACAAAAAGAAAAAGAAAAAGUUGAGGCCUGGAUGGGCCUGGUCCCCAGGCCCAACCAGCCCAAUUUGUUUUGGGCUAAAGACUUGUUUAUCAAAACACAUUUUUAUAUUUUACCCCUUUUAUUUCAUCUCUUUUUAUUUUGUUAUUUAGUCAAAUAAGUCUUUUUGGAUAUCAAAAAAUUAUGAAAACCUUUGUGGUCCCUCUUGAAUUUACUUUUUAAAGAUCUACUUUUUAAUAAUUAUUUAAUUUUUUAAAAAUCAUUACGGUGUCAGGAUACAACAAUACUAAGCAGGCAGCUUGCACAGUUUGUCAACUUUCUUUAGAAAUAACAGAAUAUUAGAUGGACUUCUAUAGAUGCUGUUGGGUAAUCCGGUGGUGUUUUAGUCUUAUGGAAUGAUAACAGAAUUAUUUUUUAUUUGAAAAUAUAUUGAAAUAUUUUUUUAUUUUUUAAAAUUUAUUUUUAACAUUAGUACAUCAAAAUAAACAAAAAAAUAAUAAUUAAUUAAUACAACUAAGCUCUUGAUAAAAUUAAUUAAUACAACAUAAACAAUAUUUUUAUGAUAAACAAAAAUGAAUUAUAAUAAGUUCUUGAUGUUUUUUUAUUGGUAAUGAUAAUAAACUUCUUUCAGUUUUGACAAAUUAGUAAUACAACUAAAAAUCUUGAGGAUGUAAUAAAAACCAAACUUAUCCUAAAAGAAGUGGCCUAUAUUGCUUUCUAUAUAUUUUUUUAAAUAAUUGACAAAAUUUUCAAAUUUGAAAUUUCAUAGCGAAUGUCACCAUUGAUAAAAAGACAAGGUUUUUGUUUUUUUUUAAAAAAGAAAUUUCACUUCAAGAAGGGCAAACUACAGUACAGAACUCUAGCUACAUGCAGUUGAAUAUUCCUUCUUCUCUGUAUCUAUUCAAAAGGAAAUCUUACACACACACACAGUAAUAUCUUUAAUACUCAUUAAAAAUAAUUAAUUUCAAACAUUAAUAAAUUAUUUUUAAAAAUUUUCUUAUAAUUAACAUGCAUGGCCAAAUAAUAAAAGCAAUUAUUUUAUUUUCCAUGAAAAUUAAUUUAUUUUUCAAUAAUCCUUUUUUUAUGAAAAUAUUUUAAAACUCAACAAACGACAGGCCUAAAUUAAAAACUUUUUAUUAGGAUAAACAAAGCCAGAUAACAACAACACACAAUAUCAGUGCCUCAAAUCUUAGAAAGAGUGGUUUAUAUUGAAGAAUACUACUUCUCGAAAUAAAACAAACUGAUCGGUCACUGUUAUUUAAUAUUCCAUAUUAUCAGCUAGCUGAAUUAAUUUGAUUUAUCUAAAUGAACCGACAAAAUAAGUGAAAAGGAAAUUUUAGACAACAUAUCACGUAACAAUAGUACCUGUCCAAAAUUAUAGUACACCUCCCCAGACGCCAUUGAAUAUUCAAUCUUCUUACAUACUGAGUGGACCAUGUAACACAACAUGGAAUGUCAAGCAGCUUCGUUCUUCCAACAUGAGUGGAUCUGUUUUUUGCCAUUGAGAAAUCCGAAUGAUGCAUGCCAAGAUUGUACUUAUGCAAUCAUUUUUAAAGUGGAACUGUCAAUCCGUAGUCAGGCCCACUUUUAUGACAUAGACAGAGAAAGCCCGCAGGACCAUUUUGAGCUACCUUCACCUGUUACAUCUACUUGUCAUUUUAUAAUUAUAAUAAUUAUUUCUUUUAUAUAUAUUUAUUUAUUUGGACCACAUUGUUCUCCUUACAUAUAAUUUAAGUUUUAUUAUAGUGAAUUCUCAAAUUAAAUUUUAAAAUUAUAAUAAUUAUUAUUUUUAAUUAUAUAUUAACUUGGAUUAUCUCGAUCUUUUCCAUAAGUAACUUGAGCUAUACCUCCAUCAAUUCUCAAAUCAAAUUUUAAAAUUAUAAUAAUAAUUUUUAUAAUAUAAUUUUAGAAAUCAAUAAAUAUUUAUCAUACAAAAUCACAUAAAAAAUAAAUGAUAAAAGAAUACUUCAUUUCUAAUGAAGAUGUUGGCUGGCUGGGUGGCUUUCUCUGCCUCCAGCCCUCAACCUUUAAUUGAUCUAUUUUUCUCGAUAGGUGGCACGAGUUUUUUCAUACGGUGAACUGACUUUUUUGUAAUAUAAAAAAACAAAAUAUUAUAAGCGUAUAAAUUAAAUUUUUCAUGGGAUUUUUAAUAGUACAAGAUUUGCAAAAAUAAAGUCAUGGAUCAACAUAACUUUGGUGUGAUUAGUUUACUUUUUUCUUUUUCUCUUUUUGUGUUUUCAAUUCUUGGCUGCUAUUUUUUUUUAUAAAAGAGUUGAUUUUUUAAAAAAAUAAUUUAUGAAAUUCAUUUUUUUCACAUGUCAAUGCAUCUUCAUCAAGCGAACAUUUUUCUCAAUCCUCAAGAAAAUAAAAACAAAUCAAAUAGAAUAAAAGUUUAGACAGUUUUUUGCAAUAUUCCAUCUUCUUUGUAAUUGUAAAAAAGCAAAUAUUUACAAAAUUUCCAGCCAAGAUGUUAGAAGAAACCCCACCAAAUUUAGUAUACAUUAGGUAUUAUGGUAGUAGUUGCUUUUUAAAUUAUUUUUUGCUAGAAAAUAUAUUGAAAUAUAUUUUUAUUUUUUUAAAAUUUAUUUUUAACAUCAAUAUAUCAAAAUAAUCUAAAAACAUAAAAAAAUUAAUUAAUACAACUAAGCUCUUGAUUAUUUUUUUUGGUAAUAAAAUUAAUUAAUACAACAUAAACAAAAUUUAUUUUUUUUGUUUUCUGAUAAACAAAAAUGAAUUAUAAUAAGCUAUUGAUUUUUUUUAUUGGUAAUGAUAAUAAACUUCUUUCAGUAUUGACAAAUUAGUAAUACAACUAAGAAUCUUGAUGAAGUAAUAAAAACCACUCCCAUUAAUUUACACAAUGAACCAAACCAAACUUGUCCUAAAAGAAGUGGCCAAUGCUUUCUAUUUUCUUAAAUAAAUGACAAAAUUUCCAAAUUUGAAAUUUCAUGGCGAAUGUCACCAUUGAUAGGUGAAGCCCAAAGACAAGGUUUUUUGUUUUUUUUUUUCAAACAUACAAUUGAAUAUUUCUUGUUCUCUUAUCUAUUCGAAAGAAAAUCUUACACACAUAUACGCUCUCUUGUGGACUGAAAAGUUUUUUAAAUAUUGUAGCUACAUUUGUUUAUAUUAUCUUAUUAGUUUUAAGCCGAAAUAGUAAUAUCUUUAAUACUCAUUAAAAAUAAUCAACUUCAAACAUUAAUAAAUUAUUUUUAAAAAUUUUCUUAUAACAUGGCAAAAUAAUAAAAACAAAUAUUUUAUUUUCCAUGAAAAUAAUUUAUUUUUUAAUAAUUCUUUUUUUAUGAAAAUAUUUUAAAAACCAGCAACCGAGUCCUAAAUUAAAAACAUUUUAUUAGAAUAUUCAAAGCCAGAUACCAACAACACACAAUAUCACAGCCUCAAAUCUUAGAAAGAGUGGUUUAUAUUGAAGAAUAAAACUUAUGGAAAUAAAACAAACUGAUCAGCCACUGUUACCUAAUCUUCCAUUAUCAGCUAGCUGGAUUGAUUUGAUUGAUCGAAAUGAACCGACAAAAGAAGUGAAAAGGAAAUUUUAGGCAACAUAUCACGUAACCAUUGAAUAUUCAAUCUUCUUACUUUGACCUGUACAAACUAUAGUCUUCCCCUCGCAAGACGCAAUUAAGUUUUCUGCGUUUUGUUUGGGUUUUUAUUUUGAAAGAGCACACUUAGUGAAAAUAAUAGCAAAGGAGCGCGCAUGGAGAGAAAAAUGGGCAAACUUAAGGGCGUGUUUGAUAUUGUGAUAGCUUUUGGGGUUGUGGUUUGAAAAAAAUAGUUUAAUAAAAAGUAUUUUUUAUAAGGUUGAUUUUAAAAAAAAUUGGUGUUUGGUUAAAACUGUGGUUGAAGUUGUGGUUUUAAAAAAAGCAGUUUCUUGUAUUUGGUUAAAAAAUUAUGGUUGAAAUUGUUGUAGAAAAAAAACAGUUUUGUGUUUGGUAAAACUGUGGUUUAAAACGCACUUUUCAAAAAAAUUGAUUUUUUUUUUGCUUUGAAUGAGUAUGUUUUUUAUGUUUUCAAAUCAUUUUGAUGUGCUGAUAUCAAAAAUGAUUUUUAAAAAAUAAAAAAAAAUAUUAUUGACAUGCUUUUUUUAGUGAAAAAUACUUCGAAAAGCAACAGUAACCACACUCCCAAACACGUAACAUGGUUUGUGUUUUAUAUUUGAUUUGAAUUAAUUAAAAGGACAUAUAUAGACACAUAUAUAAUUCCAAAACAUAGGUGUUUUGUAAUUAUGAUUACAUAACAAAAUGAAAAAUCCUUAUACAUUAAUGUACUCUUUUAUUGUUCCAUCAAACUAUUUGCAAUUCCAUCGCGUACAAAAUCCAUACAUGAAGGCCUCUGUAAGCCUUGAACGGCCGAAGCCUAAACAACAUCAGGUAAAAAGAUCUGGAAUUAAAUUGGGGUUGCGAUCAUACUCAGAAAAAACUGCAUCAUCUGGCGAUCUCCUUCUAAUAUAAUUAUGUAGUGCCAUUGAUGCAACUACAAUCUCAACUUUUGUUUUGUAUGGAUAAGCAGGCAUGUUUUGCAAAAUUUUCCACCUCUGUUUCCAUACCCCAAAAGAACGUUCGAUCACGUUACGUAGUGACGAGUGUGCACGAUUAAACACUUCUUUCCGACCACUUGGUUGUCCACGACGCCUAAAUUCUUGGAAGUGAUACCUCUCGCCUUUGUAGGGACCUAAAUAUCCAUACUCGUUUGGAUAUCCAGCAUCAACCAAAUAGUAUUUUCCUAAAAAAAAUAUCAUUGUAAUUUUAAACAAAACUUUUUUUAAAAAAUUAUAUUCCUUUAAUUAUCAAAUCUUCAAUUUAGUCAAAAUCACAACCUUCCGGAGGUUUUGGAAAUUGGAUAUUGCUAUUGUCAAUAGCCUCAAGAAAAAUACACGUAUCGUGUUCAUUGUCUUCCCAUCCUGCCCACACAAACAUGAAUUGCAUGUCGAAACUACAUGCGGCCAUGACAUUUUGUGUUGGUACACCUUUUCUUCCAAUAAAUGGAAUUUGAUUUGCAGAUGGUAUGCAGGCACGAACAUGUGUUCCAUCAAUUACACUGACACAAUUCUACAAGCCACAAAAAUAUUUAGUACUCAUAAAUAUUUAUAACAUAUUUCAUACUUCUUUGAACAACUUAAUUAAACUACUUAAUUAUACAAAAAUUCAUCUUACCUUGAAAUGUGGCAUAAAUCUUGGAUUCAUAGCAAUUUCUCUUGGUGUGCUCGUAAAUUGUGGAUCUUCUGGUUUUUUGACUUCCACAACAAACAAACAUAAUGAUUUAAGCACUUCUUUAAAACAUCGACUAAUAGUUUCACCUGAAUGCUGAAAUCUUUCCUGCACUUGUCUAUUUGACGCCCCAACUGUUAUUGUAAAUAGAAACAUUGCUACCUUUUCAAUAACACUCAUUCUUCUUGACGGUUUUAAGCCAUGGUGCGUUUCUAAUUCAGUGCACAAACUCAACAAAGUGGUUGCGUCCAUCCUGAACAUGUUAACACUUCGUUUCCAAUGCCCUUUUAAAACCUCCGUCAACCAACGCAUCCCUAUGUUAUAUGAAACCAUACAUGGUUCUUUAAACAUAUAAUUAAUAUAAUACAUGUUUAUAGCUCUAGCUACGCAUAUAAUUAUUUUUUUCCUAUCAAGAUGCCUCCUUAUAAUAAAUGCAUCAUCACCAUCACUGUCAUCGUCAUCGUCAUCGUCAUUACUAUCGUCGGAGUCGUUUCCAUUACUAUCAUCUCCAACACCAUCAACUGAGGCACCACUACCUUCACAACUAGGAUAAUUAAUUUGGUCUACAAUGCGGUUCAUUAUAUUAUCAUAAUUACCAUCGAAAUCUUCAUUAAAUAUGUCAUUAAAUCGUGGAUUAGCCAUAACUUCAAUUACAUGUAAAAAAGAAAAAAAAUAUAUGUUGUUAAUAAAAAAAUUUAAAUAAUUAAAUAUCAUUCAAUAAAAAAACUAUCAAAGAGUUGGUUCAACAUAAGUUUUUUCCAUACCUGUAAAGCCAACAAAAAAGAAGUAUUCUACUUGCUUGUAUUUGGUGCAACUGAGAGGUUUGAGAAGCUUGUUAUGAAGAAAGCUAUUUCAUUGAAAAAUAUGAUGCAAACAUUCCUCUUUAUAUAGAAAAUUUCAAUGCUCUUUACGUCUAUUUUACAAAUUUUCAGCUUUCAACAUAAGUACAUUCACAUGUAUGCAUGUGCUGUAAAAGUAGCAUAUAAUGUUACCUUUACAGCUCAUAUAUGUACACCAUCCUGCCAUGGAAAAAAGUAAAAACAGAGUUCCAAGUUACUGAAGCAGUAGGAUGACCAGCAACAAAGAAAAGUAAGAAACAACAACAACAUUAGUCCCAUUACCUCACGACAACAAUGAAAAAAACACAAACAGUAACUACAAAAGGAGUUGCUUUUUCAGACCUCACAAGAUCAUAGUAGCUAGCAAAUGGAAAAAAGUAAAAACAGAGUUCCAAGUACUGAAGCAGUAGGAUGACCAACAACAAAGAAAAAGAAGAAACAACAACAACAUUAGUCCCAUCACCUCACGGCAACAAUGAAAAAAACACAAACAAUAACUGCAAAAAGGGGUUGCUUUUUCAGACCUCACAAGAUCACAGUAGCUAGCAAAUGGAAACAAUUACAGCCAAUGAAAAAAUCACCUGCAACAUGUCAAGCUCACAGUAGCUAACCAAUUGAAAAAAUUCCAGCAAAUGAAAGAAACACAGCAGCUUGUAUUAUCAAACCUCAUGGCAGCAAAGAAAAAAGGAUCAACAGUAAAGGUAAAUUAUAAACAACAAUUUGUCAUUUUUAUUUGCCUUGGUUCAUUUUUAUCCGACCUCUCCCUUCCCUUCUUUAGCAUUUGACAGUGACUCCUAAAAGGGUAAACAAUGCAGCAAAUGUCAUCUUCUUCCUCUCCUUUUGCCUUUCAAAUAUUCCCUCCUUUGGCACACAUAAAUGCCGCCUAUUGAUAAUUCAUUCUUACUCUCGACCCUCUCUCCAUCUCAUACAAAGCUUAUCUCCUGGUUUCUCCAUUCAUGUCUAAUGUUUCCAGAGUUAGAUGUAUUCCAAAUCCACACAGGACAUACAUGAGCAUCUAGCUAGCUACCUAAUGGAAACAAAUAAAGCCAAUGAUGGAAUGACCAGCAGCAUGUCAAUCUCACAGUAGCUAACCAAUUGAAAAAAUUACAGCUAAGGAAAGAAACACAGCAGCAUGUAUUAUUAUUCCCAGCAGACCUCACGGCAGCAAAUAAAAAUAUAAAGUUAACAAAACAGUUAAGGUAAUUUCGAACAACCAAUUCAUGUAAAUUAACAACCAAUUCCAUUAAAGGGUCAACCAUUUAACAUUAACCAUUGAACAUUGUAAUUCAUAGAUAAAAUACAACAUUACAACCACCAAUUUCUCAUACAAGUUUGUUAACUCCCGUAAAGUAGUUUAAUAAAUAUAACAGUACAUAAAUUACCGCAAACGCAUAUGCUCAUAUGCCUUAAAAUCAAAUGUGGAAUAAUACAAUGCCUCGAACAAACUUCGGCAAAUGGAAACUACUCUUUUAAAAACCAACAUCCCAUUACUCUGCAGCAAAAAAAUAAACAUGUAUAAAUAUCGUAAGCACUUGAACAUACUUAAUUGAUUAACAGUUAAGAUACUUAAAUCAUACCAUGUCAGCUAAGCACGUUUAGUUCGUGCAUAUAUUUGCUGCAACCAUCUCAACUUCUGUUGCUUAUCGCCCAUACUGGCCCACAUUUCUCUUUUCCUUCUUGAAAUGAGAAACUCCGUAGCAAAGUCGUGGAAGUCAUCUUCAAUUGAAACUCCAGGAAUUGAGUGCAGCUCAGCCAUCACCUCGGGGAUGCUACAACCUUUGCGAUCCAUAUUAAUAGACGUCGAAUCACUCUUAGUCGACAUACUCUCAAGAAGAUGAUUGCACCUUGUCAGCAGUUGAACACCAAUUCCAGAUGUUUUCUUCUUUCUACAUCGCACAUCGACAUGAUCUCGUUCUUUUCUUUUGCCGCUGCUUUUUGUAUUGCUGCUGCUAGACAUAUUUAUCUCUCCAACCAUUCGAGCCAUGUUAGUCUGGAAAUCUGGAAUCACAUCUUCCUUCGAAUCAUCGCUGCUUUCUUCCAAACCAUCAUCAGCAAUGUCGGCAUUGCUUGUACCAGAAUCAACACCACUGCCGGCAGGUACACCUGAUGAAGGAGCUCAUGCAAAAGCUCCAGUUGUGACAAUGUUGGAAUACAUUCGGUCAAAUUUAUUCUUCAAAGAUGACUUAAUACCGACAUGUCUGAAUUUUUUAGCUCCUCUAAUUUCCUGCAUAUAAAUUAAAUCAAGUAAUGAAGGAUCAAUACUAGUAAAAUUUUAGGGCUGGAAUUUGAUAAUAAUAAAAUAAAUUGUUAGGAUGACAAGGAAUGUACCUGAAUUUUUUGUUUCCACCACUCAUCGCUAGCUGCAAUUGUGCCUAUUUCACUAUUCCAGCCAACACCGGUUUCAAAAACCAGCUUAUUCCAUAUCCUCCAAUCCUUUUUGCAUCCAUCCCAUUUGUUUUUCAAUUGUGUUUUAUUGAAUGCAUGCCUAGUUUGUUCUUUGAAUGAUGUUAUAAGAAAUUUCCACCCUGUUUUAUCGAAAUGAGUAUUAGGUCUCAUUCCCAUAUCAAUUGUCUUAAUGCAUAUAUCACAAAAUAUAUGCAACAUGUCUUUUGUCCAAACAGCCUUAUCAAAAGAUUCAAGACCUUCCAUGAUAUCUUUUAACACAUUUUAAAAAAAAUUGAAAUCAAUAAAUGAUAUCAAAUAAAUAGUGGCACAUACAUAAACCAUGGACUAAAACAAUAAUAAAACAAUAAAUGUUUAGCACAUACAUGUAUUUGAAUGGGAAUGUUCACGUUCAUUUAUAAUGAAAUCUAAUUGCAACCCAUUAAUUUUGAACUGCUCAGAAAACUCAGUUUCAGCCAUGAUAAAAUAUUUGAAUUAUCAAGCAACACUUCAUUGCCAUCAUGCUGUUUGGAAGAAAAAAACAGAGGGAAAAAACAAAUAGAACAGAAUAUAUUUGCUAAAGUACAUAAACAAAGAACAACAGACAAGCAGUAUAUAGAAGCAAUUAAAUUUUGCUAAAUUCAAAACAAUUGAUGAAGUCACAGUAAACAGAAGACAAUCAAUAACAACUAUGAAAUUUGUCAAUUGCAGAACACACGGUAAUUGAUCAUGCAGGUACACAGACAUGCAAUUUUUCAUCUAAAAAAAUGAAAAUGAAGAUGGAGAUAAGGCAGGAACUUACCUUAGUCUAUAGGUGUCCAGACCAGCGCAGUUCUGCAACUUUGUCCUACAAACAGAUACACAAUGGAGGCCCAGAAGAUAAAUUAGAUUUUGAGCGACGAUUACUACAAAAUUGACAUGGUAUAUCAACACAGUACACAAAAGCAUCACAGAAAUGAAGGUUUUCAAUUCCAGAAUAGUUUUUGGAAGUAGUUUCGAAGAGACAUAACGUAUUUUUUAGUUUAUUUCAUGAAUGGAGAAUAAAGGACUAUGCAGCAGUUUUUCCUAGCAAUGGGAUAAGUAUGCAUGUCUGUUUGUAACUUGCAUGGACUGUGAGCAGUAAAUCUAAAUUUGUAAUCGAAACAUUUGUGCUGCAUGGCAAAAAUCAAAAUAUUUCUGUUCAAAAUAGCUUUAAAAAGUUACUAUAAAUCUAAAGGAAUCAAGCAAACACAUAUAGAAUUACUUUUUUUCCCGGUUAAUCAGACCACUGAUGGGAUUACAACAAUUUAUAAAAAAAAGCUUGUAAAGAACUCUACAGUUUCAGAUUCAACAAUAAUCAGCACUAAUGCAUUAGCCAAGGAUAACUGUUAUUUUUUAUGUUUCUCAUCAUGCACAAAACAGUAGAGUCUAGAGCCAUUUUUUAGCCUUCGAAAAAGAAGAUAGAAAAACAAAAUCUUGAAAAAAAAAAAACUAAAACCAUUCAAGCCUCAGACCAUCCUAGUUCAUGCAUUUCAACAGCUAGGCAGAUCCAUAGACCUGCUUUCAAUGGAAAAUAGUAUUGUCAUCAUAGGCUACCAGCACAAUAAUAAAAAAAAACCCAUGAAAGCUGAGACUUGAAGACAUAAAAGCAGAAAGAUAGAGAGCAUCAAAUCUUCCUAUUCAAGAAGCUAAAUCAUAAGAACCGAAACCCAAAUAAGAGGCAGAGCAUUCAACAAUUCAAAAGAUUCGUCAUUUGCCUCUCUAGAUUGAAAAAAAAAAAACCAUGAAAAUAGUAUUGUCAUCAUUGGCUGCUAGUAAUUAAAAAAAACCCAUUGAAGCCGAGACUUGAAGACAAAAGCAGAAAGAUAGAGAGCAUCAGAUCUUCCUAUUCAAGAAUCUAAUCAUAAGAACCCAAACCCAAACAAGAGUCUGAGCAUUCAACAAUUCAAAAGAUUCGUCAUUUGCCUCUCCAGAUUGAAAAAUAAAUAAAUUCAAGGAAUUGUUUAAAGCAAUGCAAUAAUUAGAAGAGGGGAAGAUAUAGGGAGUUUUUGGAGAAGGUGAACGGCGGUUUAGGGCUGAGUUUUUCAGAAAGCCAUUAGUGUGUCGUUUAUAAAGAUUUACAAAUCAAAAAUUUGUAAUCAAGCAUGCAACAGCACAAACAUGAAAUACUUCAUCUAAAAAACCAAAAAUGAAGAUGGAGAUGAGGGAGGAACUUACCUCAGUCUCUGUCUUUUGCAAACCAAAACGGUGUAGCAGCUGUGUUCUACAAAAUAAAAAACAAUAGAAACCCAUUAGAUUUUGAGACACACGUUAAACAAAAUUGACAAGGGGAAUGCACAUUACCUGGUAUCUCUUGGUUUUUUUCUGCAAUUGUAACAAUGGAGGGACAGUCGAGUGACGGUUUGUGUUUGAAUGGACAGAGGGGAAGAAGUGCUCUGGCGUUGGUGUUAGGGAAAAAUAAAAACGGGGUUAUCAAGAGAAGAGAGAGGAGAAUAGUUUGGGGAAGAAAAUUUGGGUUUUUUAGCUCGUCAAAUUGAUCUGCAACCGUAAUUUUGGAGGUUGUUUACUGGGGAAAGUUUGGUGGUGAGAGAGAGGUAAGGAACUAAAGGUUGAAAAACAUUGAUCUGUGAAAUUUUGGGUUUGUUGUAACCGUUGGAAAAUGGUUUGCAAGUUGGGAAGUAAUUGCAAAUUGAUGAAAAAAGCAAUUGUAAAUUGUCGGUGAUGAGAGAGAGUAGAAACGCAUGAAAAGCAAAUUCAUUCUGCUUUUCACGUUUUACAAUUGAACCGUGAUUUUUAAUGGGACCCACAUCAAAAUAAAUUGUGUUUUGAAGUUAACCAAACACAUGUGUUACUGCUUUUGUAUAAACUGCAACCGCAUCAGCUUAGCCAAACACCCACUAAGAUGUUGUGCUUUUGAUGUUGCGUUGUUCUAAUCGACGUAACCUCGUCAUCUUGUAGCUAGGGCCACUUUUAUGAUAUGGACAGAAAAAGCCCGCACAACAUGGAUAAUUUGGGCCACCUUCACCUGUUACAUCAACAUGUCAUUCUUAAAUUAAAAUUUAAAAUUAUAAUAAUAAUAAUUUUUUAUAUAUUGACUUGAGUUGAUCUUCCUUACAUGUGAUUUAGGCCUUCCUCUCGUUGAUCUCUUAGUUGAAUUUUAAACCUAUGAUAAUAAUUAUUUUAAUUUAUAUAUUAAGUUUGGUCAUCUUAUGUCAACCCUCUCGAUCAGUGACUUGAGUUGUGCCUCGGUCAACUCUUUAGUCGAAUUUUAAAAUUAUAAUAAUAAUUUUUAUGAUAUGAUUUUACAAGUUAAUAUAUAUUUAUCAUGCAAAAUCACGUAAAAAAUACAAAAAAUGAUAAAUAGGACUGAAAUCGUGUAAAAUCAAUAACAUAAAAAAAAGUCACGAUUUUACGAUCUUACAAAUAAUUCCAAAUUCUUAUCUUUCUCAUUGCAUAUCUUUGUGUGUUACUCGCUAAUGCACCAGCCCCACAAGCACUUGUAUCAAUGGAUUCUUUCUUUAAUUAAUAGUACAAGGAUGAAGAAAAUAUAAUCUUGCUUAAACCUUUUUUAAUAAAUAAAAAAUUGUCUAUUAUGAGACAAGAUUUUGAAUAUUCUUAUUCUAUAGGGAUAUUUUUAUAGAUAAGAGUAACAAACCAUACUCGAAAGUCUGAUCUAUUAUAUGCUUAUGCUGAAAUACCAUAAUUGUUUUAACAAGUUUACAUCAUUAUGACUUCUCUAUAGAAAAUCUCAUAAUUUGUGUAAUAUAUGAUCUAAUAAGCAACCAAACUUCAAGAUUUUAAAAAAGAAAUAUCUAACUUUGAAUUGUUUGAUUCUUUCAUUUUAGUUCAUACAAAGCAUAAAACUCCUUAUUGAUCUACUCGUUGAAAUUUAUGGUAUGUAACAAAUAAUAUCUGAAACUUAUGAAAAUUUAUUAAUAUCUAAAAGAAAGCAUAAUGCGUUUUUGUCUCUACUGUCUUCAUCUUUUUUGUUACAUAACAGUAACAAAACACUAUCUUUUUACUGUUAAAUUACGUUUUAUUAGGAUAAGAAAAUUUAUGUUUGUUAUUUAACAAGUAUAUUUAUGUUUGUUAUUUGAUAAAUAUAAUUAUAUUUCUUAAUUUGAAUUAUUAUGUAGGGGUAUGACAUUAAAAUUUAAAAUUUAUGCAUGAGUAUGUUUGAUGUAAAGUGUUUAUAUUUAUUUUCUAAUGCUUAAAGGAUAUAAAAGGAUAAUUGCCUAAACCCCACUGUAAAAACAAUUGUCAUACAAAAAAUCCCAAACAUCUAACUCUUAAUCCAUUAACUAAUUUGUCAUUUUCAAUAUAUAUAAAAAAUUAUUUUAAGGUUUUAAAAAUAUCAAUAAAUUUUACUUAAUAAGCUUAUAUGUCAAUAAUAUUAUAUUUAAAAUAUUGAUAAUAUAUGUAUAGUUGCAUUUUAUAAAACUAAUGUUCUAUAUAUAUUAGGUAAACUUGAAAAAAAUAUAUUAAUAUUUUUUAUGAUAUAGAAAAAACAAUAAAAAGUGGUUUUUUAAUUUAUUUUUCUAAAAUGUAGGUUUCAAUAAAAUCACUUUUAAAACCGGCUAAUGAGGCCUAAAUCAAUUUUUUUUAUUAGGAUAUACAGAAUCAAAUGCCAACACACAACACCAGGGUCUCACAUCAUAGAUUUUUAGAAUGAGUGGUUUAUAUUAAAGAAUAAAAUUUCAGGAAACAAAACAAAUUAUAGAUUGGUCUAAAUUAAUUAGAAAUUUCCAGCUUGUCUCCUCAGUUGCUUGCAUUUGAAGUCAUGAAUACUCUGAUUUUUCAAGAUUACUUCUCAAUAUCUUACUUACCUUAAUUGAUCUUCUAGCGAAAGGAUACUUCAUUUCUAACGAAGAUGCUGACUGGUUGGGUGGCUUCCUCUGCCUCCAGCCCUCCACCUUUAAUUGAUAUAUCUUCAUCGAUAGGUGGCACGCGUUUCUCCACAAGGUGAACUGAUUUUUUUGUAACAUAUAAAAAAAUGAUGUUAAAACACUGUCAAUAUAUUUUUAAUAAAGAAAAUUCAUGAGUUAACAUUAUAAAAAGAAAAUAAAAAAUUUGAUUGAUUUGGUUAAUUCAUUAACUAUUUUCUUAUAUUUUUAUUUUUUUAAAUGAUUACGUUUUAACCUUCAUUAUAAAAUAAAAAGAUUUGAUUGACUUGGAUUAACUCAAGUUAACCCACUUGACUUGUGACUCGGUACUUGCCUCAAAUCGACUCUCGAGCCGAGUCUAAAAGCUUUGAGAAACAUCAUUAAGACCAGUUCCCUAAUUAAUUAAUAAAAUGUUGACUGAUGAAAUAAAUAAAAAUUUAAUUAUAUAAAAUGAUAAAAAAAUAACAAUUAAAAAAAAAAAAAAACCUAAUUUGAAAAAAAAAAACAACAUGACAACCUAAAUUUUUUAAUUAAGGGGUAAAAUUAAAAAUAAAAAUCAAAUUAAUAAAAGAAUCCAAAAAAAAAAAUCAAGAGAUUGAGUACCAAAUUUGAAAAAAAAAUCAAGAUUAGGACACAAAGAUAAAAUUAAAAACAAACUAAGAUUUGAUAAAAAAAAUCAAAAUUAAUAUCGUCAAAUUUUUCAAAAUCAAAAUCCAUCUCCACCGAAUCUUACUCGUGCAUUUAUAAUGAAACAAAAUCUAUCAUUUCUUUCCCAUAUAUAUACGUAUGCGGGGCAAAUCAUUUUAUACAUCCUUUUUAAGAAAUUAAACAACCAAGGCCAUGGCUUCCCACAUCUUUCUCUUUUCCACAACUUUUUUGGUUUUUUCCUUACUUGCUUAUGCUCCCUUCUUUGCUUCUUUUGCUUACUCGGCUAGUACUGGAGCUGCUGAAUUAGCAAAUGGAAGGAAGGAAGCGGAAGCUCUUUUAGAAUGGAAAGUCACUCUUGACAACCAAAGCCAGUCUCUCCUGUCUUCUUGGGCUGGAGACAGCCCUUGCAACUGGUUCGGAAUCAGCUGCAACAAGCCUGGUAGUGUCAUCAACAUAAGUCUGCCCAAUUCUAGUUUGAGAGGUACGCUUAAUAGCCUCCGAUUCUCUUCCUUUCCUAACUUGAUUGAGCUUAUCCUUCACAACAACUCCCUCUAUGGGUCAAUUCCUUCACAUGUAGGCACCCUUUCUAACCUCGCCAUCCUUAACUUGUCUUCCAAUAACCUUUCUGGCAACAUUCCACCAGAAAUUGAAAAUUUAGUAUCUCUCACUAUUUUAGAUUUGUCCUCUAAUAAACUAAAUGGUACAAUACCGGUAUUUUUAGAAAAUUUAAGAAGCUUAUCUAUUCUUUAUCUUUGGAAUAAUAGUCUUUCUGGUCCCAUUACUUUUAUUAGAAACCUGACGAGAUCUCUCACCAUUUUAGCUCUGUCAUAUAAUAAACUAACCGGUACAAUACCGAUAUCUUUAAAAAAUUUAAGAAACUUAUCUCAACUCUACCUUGGGGUUAAAAAUAUUUUUGGUCCCAUUCCAUUGGAAAUUGGAAAUUUAGAAUUUCUCACUAUUUUAGAUUUGUCGUAUAAUAAACUAACCGGUACAAUACCAGUAACUUUAGGAAAUUUAGAAUCUCUCACUAUUUUAGAUUUGUCGUAUAAUAAACUAACCGGUACAAUACUAGUAACUUUAGGAAAUUUAAGAAGCUUAUCUGAACUUAAUCUUUGCAAUAAUAGUCUUUUUGGUCCCAUUACUUUUAUCAGAAACCUGACGAGAUCUCUCACCAUUUUAUUUCUGUCAUAUAAUAAACUAAGUGGUACAAUACCGACAUCUUUAGAAAAUUUAAGAAACUUAUCUCAACUUUGCCUUGGGGUUAACAAUCUUUUUGGUCCCAUUCCACCAGAAAUUGGAAAGUUAGAAUCUCUUACUAUUUUAUCUUUGUCGUAUAAUAAACUAACCGGUAUAAUACCAGCAUCUUUAGGAAAUUUAAGAAGCUUAUCUGAACUUCACCUUAACAAUAACUGUUUUUUUGGUCCCAUUACUGUUAUUGAAAAUAUGACGAGAUCUCUCACUAUUUUAGAUUUAUCAUAUAAUAAAUUAAUUGGUACAAUACCGACAUCUUUAGAAAAUUUAAGAAGCUUAUCUAUACUUCACCUUGCGAAAAACAGUCUUUUUGGUCCCUUUCCUCCAGAAAUGAACAACCUUACACAUUUGUCUAUGUUACAAAUAUAUUCUAAUAGAUUUUAUGGAAAUCUACCACGAGAUGUGUGCCUUGGUGGAUUGCUUAGAUUUUUUUCUGCACAUCAAAAUUAUUUCACGGGACCUAUCCCAAAAAGCUUGAGAAACUGCAGCAGCUUGUUGAGACUCAGACUUGAGGGAAACCAACUUAGUGGAAACAUAUCUGAAGCUUUUGGCACACAUCCUCAUUUGUCCUACAUGGAUUUGAGUGAUAAUGAAUUGCAUGGUGAACUUUCAUGGAAAUGGGAGCAGUUUAACAAUUUGACAACCUUCAGAAUUUCUGGAAACAAAAUAUCUGGAGAAAUACCAGCUGCACUUGGAAAGGCAACUCAUCUACAAGCUCUUGACCUCUCGUCAAAUCAACUAGUUGGAGAAUUCCAAAAGAAUUGGGAAAUUUAAAGUUGAUUCAACUUGCACUCAACGAUAACAAACUUUCAGGUGAUAUUCCUUUCGAUGUCGCAGCGCUAUCUGAUCUGGAAAGGCUUGGCCUGGCCGCGAACAAUUUUAGGCAACAAUUCUUAAACAGCUUGGCAACUGUCAAAACUGAUAUUCUUGAAUAUCAGCAAGAAUAGAAUGACAGGGAAUAUUCCUGCUGAGAUGGGGUCUUUACAGUCUCUUGAAAGUCUUGAUCUCAGUUGGAAUUCCCUCAUGGGAGAUAUAGCGCCAGAGCUUGGACAGCUGCAGCGGCUAGAGGUAUUAAACCUCUCCCAUAAUAUGCUGUCUGGUCUCAUUCCAACCAGUUUUAGUAGACUGCAAGCCCUCACUAAAGUGGAUGUAUCCUAUAACAAGCUAGAGGGUCCCAUUCCUGACAUCAAAGCCUUUCGCGAGGCACCAUUUGAAGCAAUUCGCAACAACACCAACCUGUGUGGCAAUGCUACUGGUUUGGAGGCUUGUGCUGCUCUCAUGAAAAACAAAACUGUGCACAAGAAGGGCCCCGAAGUUGUCUUUAUGACUGUAUUUUCUCUGCUGGGUAGUUUGUUGGGCCUGAUUGUAGGUUUCUUAUCUUUUUCCAAAGCAGAAGAAAGAAAAGGUUAGUGGAAACACCACAAGAGAUGUUCCGCGAGAUGGUGCCCUGGUGGGGAUCUGCGCUACGAGGACAUCAUUGAGGCUACUGAGGAAUUCGACUCCAAAUAUUGCAUUGGUACUGGAGGGUAUGGAGUUUUACAAAGCUGUACUUCCAUCAGAACAAGUCCUUGCCGUGAAGAAAUUCACCAAACACCAGAAGUUGAGAUGAGCAGCUUGAAAGCUUUUAGAAGCGAGAUUGAUGUCUUAAUGGGUAUACGGCAUCGAAACAUUGUGAAGCUGUAUGGUUUCUGCUCGCAUGCCAAACACUCAUUUUUGGUAUAUGAAUUUGUGGAAAGGGGAAGUUUAAGAAAGGUACUGAACGACGAGGAACAAGCAGGAAAGAUGGAUUGGGAUAAAAGGAUGAAUCUUAUCAAAGGCGUAGCCAAUGCUUUAUCCUACAUGCACCAUGACUGCUCCCCUCCGAUUAUUCAUAGAGACAUUUCCAGCAACAAUGUUCUUUUGGAUUCAGAAUAUGAGGCUCAUGUCUCUGACUUCGGCACAGCCAGGCUCCUCAUGCCUGACUCGUCCAAUUGGACGUCAUUUGCUGGCACCUUUGGGUACACAGCUCCAGGUAUGUAGUUAAGUUUCAAUAUCACCUUCUACAGUAGGUUAGCUUACAAAAUCACUUGAAAACAAAUAUAUAGCAUGACCAGCCUCUUUAAUUUGCAGAGUUGGCAUACACAAUGAAAGUGGAUGAAAAAUGUGAUGUGUAUAGCUUUGGAGUAUUAACAUUGGAAGUAAUGAUGGGAAAGCAUCCUGGCGAUUUCAUCUCAUCUCUGAUGUUUUCUGCCUCCACCUCCUCAUCAUCACCAAUUGGUCACAAUACAGUCUUGAAGGAUGUCUUAGACCAGCGCCUCCCACCUCCUGAAAACGAGCUUGCGGACGGUGUGGCACAUGUUGCAAAACUGGCGUUUGCUUGCUUGCAGACCGAUCCCCACUAUCGGCCAACAAUGCGACAAGUUUCUACAGAGCUUACAACUCGAUGGCCACCAUUGCCAAAGCUAUUCUCCACGAUGGAAUUGGAAGAUAUAAUGGUUCACAGAAAUGUUAUUGGCUGAAUUUUUACAGUAUACUUUCCUGUCAAGGAGCCAGUAGCUCAGCUGGUAAUAGAGUCCCCGUCCUCUCAAGAGGUGUUAUUGUCAGUCCAAAGUCUUACAUUUCGUCUAUUUCUUCGCCUACUGCUUGUGUAUAUUAAAUGCAAGAAACAGAGUUUUCUCAUUUCGAACUUAAAUUCGCCAGAUGAAAUAUUUCACAUAUUUUUAGUUUUCGUGAGCAACAAUGGAAGAAAUCAACAUAUUUUCUCCUCUUUUUUUUUUUGUUUUCCAAUAAACGAAAAUGAAUUAUAAUAAGCUAUUGGUUAUAUUUAUUUUUAAUUGGUAAUGAUAAUAAGCUUCUUUCAAUAUAGCCAUAUUAGUAAUAUAAUUAAAAAUCUUGACGAUUUAAUAAAAACCACUCCCAUUAAUUUCCACAAUCAAACAAAACUUGUUCUAAAAGAAGUGGCCAAUGCUUUCUAUUUUUUUAAAUAAUUGACAAAUUUUCCAAAUUUGAGAUUUCAUGUGAAGCCCAAAGACAAGGAUUUUUUAUUUUUUAUUUUCUCAAAGGAAACUUCCCUUCAAGAAUGGCAAACUUCGUACAGUUGUCGUGUCAUUACUAUUCAAAAGGAAAUUCUGGACUGAAAAAGACAACCAGAACCAUAGCAUCAUUACCUAAGAAACUUGUCCCUGCUAAUCAGAUUCUUCUCGCAAGCAGGUGGCAAAACUAAAUUUAAUUAUCUACUAUUCAUAAAUAAUAAAUAAUUUAAUUAUAUUUAUCAUAUAUUUUAAAAUAUUGUAAUAUCUAUUAUAACUAUAUUUAUUUAUAUCAUCUUUAUUAUUUUUAAACAGAAAUAGUGAUAUCUUUUACACAUUAAAAAUACCUAACUCAAAUUCUAUAAAUUUUAAUAGCUUUUCAACUUUAUAACCGGAGCUUAAGAUUUUUUAUUGAUUAAAAUUUAAAAUUGUUUAUUAUAAAAAUAAAAUAAAAAAAAAAGUAAUAAAAAAUAAAUACUGUAUUUAUUAUCCAGAAUUUGAGACCAUUGACUGUGACAUUAGUAAGUUAGUAACCUUUGUUCUUGCAUUGGUGAUGGGCUUGAGGGUGAAUGUGACAUUAAUAAUUGAUUAAAUUGGAAAAAAAAAGAGGACUGUUUUGUAAAUGGUGCCGAAAUUCAAGGGUUCAAUUGCAAUUUGAUCCAGGUGUAAAAUGAAAAAAAGGGGGAUUUUCCAUGAUUAGGGGCCUAAUUGCUAAAUUUCAGAAUAUCAGGGGUCAAAUUGAAAAUAACCAUUUUGGACUAAACGACGCCGUUUCGUGUCCAAUAUUCAUCACCUUCUUCGUGGAUUAAUUCAGCAGAAAGGAAACUGCCUCAAACCGGUUGCAAUCAUGUACCACGUCUCCUACACGAUGCAUCUCCAAAUAUGCCUCACCCCCAUGAUCAUUGUCUGGGCAGAAAGAGAGGACAUUCAGAGAAAAGACCACAAAAAAGGGGGCGCCGAGCUUUCUGGACGGGGGAGAGACGGUAGAAAAAAACGAAAAAACCAGAGGAGGAGAGAACGAACAGGGGGGGGGUUUCGGAAGCUGAGAAAAAUCACAGAAAACACAGAGAGAACACAAACAGAGGAGGAAAAAAACCAGAGAACAGGGAUGUAAACAGAGGACAGACGAAAACAAAAGAAAGGGAAUAAAGGCCAGAGAGAAAGACCAGAACAGGUGUGACGAUUCAACAGGAUUAAGAACAACUGAAUUUUAUUCCAAGUGAAUACUGUCACUUUUACAAAAGCUUUAAGUGCCAAAAAGAGUAAUACAAGGUAUAUUUGAUGAUCAAAUUAGUUUCAAUGACUGAAAAUAAAUUGAAAUUAAACUUGACUAGGAUGAGAGCAAAUUCACCCGAAUUUCUCUCUUUUCACACACACAAAGUGUAUUGUUCUUCUUCUCUAGUUUUUCAUUCGGUUACAGUGCAUUAUAUGCAUGCAAGGUGCUCGUCCGUAAUUGCAAUAAAAGACUUUACAAGUUUCUUACACGUGUCUAUUGACACGUUACUAAUUGAAAAAUGAAACGGCGCGUUUGUGAAUUGAACUCUUUUCUCGCUAUGGCUCUGUUCAAAUCUAUUCCCCUGUUUCUUCAAGAUUCAUCGUUAGAAGAGUUACUGUUGGCAGCAUGUAACAACAGGAGGACACAACUCGAGGGGACGAACAGCACAGGGGAGACCUGGAAACGCAAACAGAGGCGAUCGAACAGAAACAAACCAGGAAAUAAAGAACAAAGAAAGCAAAAGAAAAGCAAGAAGAGGGGAGGGUAACAGAAGCAGAAGGGAGGGUAACAUCAGCUAGAAAGAACAAGCCUCCAUCAGUGGAGGGUAAUAGAAACUGUGAACAAGGAAUUUGAAAAUUGGACUGCAAAUCAGUAGCGGUCCGGAGACUCUAUUUCGGGUAUGGUUUUUUCUCAUAUCGUUUUAAACAAGAAAAUCUACUUUUGGAAUUGUUUUUGUUUGGGUAUGCUAGCUAAACGUCAAGCUAUUAAAAAGAUGCUUAUUCACCAUGAGAUUGAUGUUUGUUUUCUACUUGAGACUAAGCGGGCAGCCUGCACAGAUAAAUUUUGUCAACUUUCUGUGGAAUGAACAGAAUAUUAGAUGGACUUCUAUAGAUGCUUUUGGGAAAUCCGGUGGUGUUUUCGUCUUAUGGAAUGAUAAGACAUAGAAUAUGGGGGACAGUGGAUUGCUAUCUUUGGUGUUCAUUCUUCUUCAGAUUUUGCUUGUGCCGUAGUGGGAGUCUAUGCAGCUAGUUCAGUUUUUGAACGACGAACUUCCUAGAAUGAGCUUACCAUGCUAAAAUCAGCCUUUGAAGUGCCCAUGUUCUUAGUAGGGGACUUUAAUGAGACCUUACACCCAAGUGAAAGGAGUAGUGGGUUCUUAAAUGUUACUGGUUCAAAGGCCUUCGAGUCUUUUCUCUCUAAUUGCGACUUCAUUGAGUAUCCUCUUGCUGGGCAUCGUUAUACAUGGUUUUGGGGCAGAUCAAUGAGCAGAAUAGACAGAAGUCUUGCAUCUCCAUCUUGUCUCUUGCAAUUUCCUUUACUGUCUUUGACUAUAUACCCCUAGAGGACUGUCCGGUCCCUGUCAUUUAGUUCUUGGCCAGAUUCGUGAGAAUUGGGGGUGGAGGCCAUUUUGUUUUAUGAAUUGUUGGACUGUCUUGCCACGAUUCAUGAAAGAUCUGGAGACUUUCUGGAGAGAAUGCGAGCUAAAACAUCCUGGAAAUUUCGCACUGGUUAAGAAAUUGAGUUUGUUGGCACAUAAAUUUCGAACCUGGAACCAUGAUGUCUUUGGUAAUCAGGAUAGCAGGCUUCGGGAAUUGCAGGAUAAAAUACAUAAGUUGGAAGAAGAAAUGGAGGUCCGUGACCUAUCAGAAACUGAGAGGAUCGAAUUAUAUGCCUUAACAAACAAACAACAAUGGGAUGUUAGCAAACAUGUUGAAGCUAUUUGGAGGCAAAAAUAAAGACAGAACUGGUGUAAAUUAGGGGACAGGAAUACAAAGUUCUUCCAUCUAGCUGCAAAAGUGAGGACAUCUCGAGAUUAUAUUACGAAGAUAACUCACGAUGGGAUCACCCAUAACACACCGCAAGGAAUUAAAAAUGCUGUUGUUUCAUUCUUUUCUAUGUUAUUCUCUAAACCCAAGACAGCAAGGGUUUCAAUGGGAGCCAUGGGUUAAAGACACUAUCUAUAGAGCAAUCCAUUUGGCCUGAGAAGGAUGCAACUACAGAGGAGGCAAAGCAAGCUGUUUGGGACUAUGAUGGGUCAAAGGUUUCAAGACCAGAUGGAUUUACUUUUACUUUCUCAUGUAACUAUCUAGAAAAAUAAAUUUUCACAGUAUAGACCAAUUAGUCUGUGCAUGUUUUAUACAAAAUUAUAUACACAUGCAGGGCAAAUCAUUUUUUAUAUAUCCUCCAUAAGAAAUUAAACCACCAAGGCCAUGGCUUCCCAAAUCUUGCUCUCAUCCAUACCUUUUGCUUACCCACGUUAAUUCAAAAAAAAAAAAAAAGAGUUUUCCCAUUUCGAACUUAAAUUCGCCAGAUGAAAUAUUUCACAACGGAAGAAAUCAACAUAUUUUCUCCUUUUUUCUGUUUUCCAAUAAACGAAAAUGAAUUAUAAUAAGCUCUUGAUUUUAUUUAUUUUUAAUUGGUAAUGAUAAUAAGCUUCUUUCAACAUUGCCAUAUUAGUACAACAACUAAAACUCUUGCUCUCAUCCAUACCUUUGUUGUUUAUUUCUUUACUUGCUUAUGCUUCCUUCCUUCCUUCUUUUGCUUACUCAGCUACUGGAGCUGAAGUAGCAAAUGGAAGGAAACAAGCAGAAGAUCUUCUAAGAUAUUAAAACGGGAAAAUCUAUUAAAUAAUAAAUUCUUGUUUCUUAUUCGAAACAAGAAUGCCUUGUUUUUUUUUUUUUUGGAAAAAAUAUUUUUUUCAAAAACAUGAAGAAAAAUAAACACGCGAUUCACAUCCAAGUCAAGGACCGACAGUAUGCAAAUAGUCUUCAUCUCUUAAUAAUCAGGAGUCAUGGAAUGGUGGGGUACAAGCUAGCUAUUAUUAAUUGUAAAGUUCGGAUUUGCACAUCGUAGAUAAAACCUAAAAUAAUUCGGGUAAUUAAGGGAGAGAGAUAGAGUUAGAUUUGUUGUUUAACACAAGCAAUGAAAAACUAGGAGAAAAAACAAGAAAAAUAUAUAAAAAUGCUUGAAGGAUGAUCACCCAAUGCAGGGUUUAGUAUUUUUUUUUUAAUCAUGGAAUAUAAUCAUCUUAUUAUAAAAGCACAUAAUGGUGCAAAAUAAUAUAUCUCUUUUUAUGCAACUUCGUCCAAUAAUCAUUUAAUUUGACCUUCGAAUUUGCAUUUUUUCUAUUCUUGAGCAUAAUGGGGUACAAUUAGGCCUUGAAAUUCCUCCAAAAAUUAUAGCUUGAUUUUUGUCUAUUUUUGCAGUUUUUUUUUAUCACCUUUCUCCACAUUGCUAGCUUUUAUUUUAUUUUUUGAUUUUUAUUUUAAAAAAAAAAGUGAAUUUUGAGGAAUAAUCCAAAAUUGGGUUAUGACAGCUUCCAUUGUCAAAGCCAUUUUCCAUGGCAGAAUUGAAAGAUGUGAUGAUUCACUCCCUUCAGUAAUAUUUGAAGACUGUUUAUAUAGCAGAUAUACUAAUAUUUGAAGACUGUUUAUAUAGCAGAUAUACUAACAGAAAAACCUCAAGUAAAAUCUUCAACAAGUCACUUGACAAGUUGAGUGUUGAAAAUCAAUGAAAAUGAAUAUACACACAAAGGAAAAUCGAUGAAAAGUAUUGCAUCGUUACUCACUGAUCCUUACGCAAAGCUGAAUAUGAAACUUAUUAAUUUUGCAGAAUAAUUAUCAUAUGAUGUUCAGCAGCAUGUCUAAGAAAAUUGCCCUAAUGUAAAAAAAAUAAAAAGAAGAAGAAAGAAAUAAUAAUAAAAUAAAAAGAAGAAGAAAGAAAUAAUAAUAAAAUACAUUGAUUCCUCUAUUUUUUUGGACAAAUUGAACCCAAUACACCUAAUAAAAUUCUAUCGUUGGGUCAACAAGUCAACUGAUUGACCAAGCUUAAGUCUAAAGAUAGCUGAAUCCUUUGAUAUUUUAAUAGGAAAGUCACGGUGAGAGAAGAAAAAGAGAAAAGAGAGACAACAAUGUUCCGACAACCUUUUCUUUAAAUACCUAGAUUAAUUAGGUUGGAUUUGUGCUAAAUUUUUGCCUUGGAUCUGAUGGGACAAAACAUGGGUCUCACAAUUAUGGUAAUUACAUGUGAAUGCGAAUGAAGCUGAAAAUGUGAAACACGAGAAAGCUGUAGAUUCCAGAAUUCGUGAAAAACAUACAUUGGUUGACUUAACGUUAUGAGCUUUUGAGAUUUCACAUGAAUGGAAGACCAUAGUUAGGGAACUUAAUUGAAAAAAAGUAAAGCUUCUUUUUGACCAUCCAAUAUUUUUUGAGACAUGAAAACUAGAAAAGCCUAAUAAUAAUAAAUAAAAUAAAUGAAUAUUUCUUUACUUGCUUAUGCUCUCAUCCAUACCUUUGUUGUUUAUUUCUUUACUUGCUUAAGCUUCCUUCUUUACUUCUUUUGCCUACUCAGCUACUGGAGCUGAAGUAGCAAAUGGAAGGAAACAGGCAAAAGCUCUUCUAAGAUAUUAAAACGGAAAAAUCUAUUAAAUAAUAAAUUCUUGUUUCUUAUUCGAAACAAGAAUGCCUUUUUUUUUUUUCAAAAACAUGAAGAAAAAUAAACAUGCUAUUCACAUCCAAGUCAAGGACCGACAGUAUACAAAUAAUCUUCAUAUCUUAAUAAUCAGGAGUCAUGGAAUUGGGGGGUACAAGCUAGCUAUUAUUAAUUGUAAAGUUCGGAUUUCACAUCAUAGAUAAAACCUAAAAUAAUUCGAGUAAUUAAGGGAGAGAGAUAGAGUUAGAUUUGUUGUUUAACAAAAGCAAUGAAAAACUAGGAGAAAAAACAAGAAAAAAAUAUAAAAAUGCUUGAAGGAUGAUCACCCAAUGCAGGGUUUAGUAUUUUUUUAAUCAUGGAAUAUAAUAAUCUUAUUAUAUAAGCACAUAAUGGUGAAAAAUAAUAUAUCUCUUGUAUUUCAUAAAAAAAAAAUCAACCGAGAAUUAAUGGAUCCAUAGCUAGCUGAAACCCCAACAUAAAUAUUCUAAUAAUUAAUUAUGACAAAUACACGUGCUCCUCCUAUCACGCAAUUAUUGAAUGGAAGACCAUAAUAUUCUACACCUCUUCAGACGCAAUUGUUUUUAUUAAAAGAUUAUUACUAUAAAAAACAUAGAAAAGUAACCUGCAUUGUUUCUAUAAAAAAAUAAAUAACAAAAGCAUAACAGACCAAAGAAUGUUGUUCCACACUUGAAAGCUUAAGUUUCGAUUCAUUUGAUUGAUAUAACAAAAGCAUUAACCACGUGAAUGUUGGUACACUCGAAAUUUCAUGGGAAACAUCACCGUAGGUCCAUAGCUGAAGCCCGAAGACAUCCAAUCAAGAAUGGAAGACGUACUUAAUUUCAAGACCUGUAAAAUUAGUCGAGAUACGCGCAAGUUAGCUGGAUACCACAUUAAUUUAAAAAAAAAAAAAAAAUGGAAGACGUCCAGCUGUCUAUCUUCUUAAGAAAUCUUCGAUCAUGACCGAGACAAAUGAAUUCCUGCAUAUAUAUACGCAUGCAGGGCAAAUCAUUUUAUACAUCCUUCUUAAGAAAGUAAUCCACCAAGGCCAUGGCUUCCCACAUCUUUCUCUUUUCCACACCUUUUUUGGUUUUUUCCUUACUUGCUUAUGCUUCCUUCUUUGCUUCUUUUGCUUACUCGGCUAGUACCGGAGCUGCUGAAGUUGCAAAUGGAAGGAAGGAAGCGGAAGCUCUUCUAGAAUGGAAAGUCACUCUUGACAACCGAAGCCAGUCUCUCCUGUCUUCUUGGGCUGGAGACAGCCCUUGCAACUGGUUCGGAAUCAGCUGCAACAAGUCUGGUAGUGUCAGCAACAUAAGUCUGCCCAAUUCUAGUUUGAGAGGUACGCUUAAUAGUCUCAGAUUCUCUUCCUUUCCUAACUUGAUUGAGCUUAUCCUUCAGAACAACUCGCUCUAUGGGUCCAUUCCUUCACAUAUAGGUAACCUUUCUAACCUCUCCAUCCUUGACUUGUCUUUCAAUAGCAUUUCUGGCAACAUUCCACCAGAAAUUGGAAAUUUAGAAUCUCUCACUAUUUUAGCUUUGUUAUUUAAUAAACUAAGUGGUACAAUACCGAUAUCUUUAGAAAAUUUAAAAAGUUUAUCUCAACUUUACCUUAAUCAUAAUAAUCUUUCUGGUCCGAUUACUUUUAUUGGAAACCUGACGAGAUCUCUCACUCAUUUAAUUUUCUCAUCUAAUAAAUUAACCGGUACAAUACCAGCAUCUUUAGAAAAUUUAAGAAACUUAUCUGAACUUUACCUUUAUAAUAAUAGUCUUUCUAGUUCCAUUACUUAUAUCGGAAACCUGACAGGACCUCUCACUAUUUUAGAGUUGUCAUAUAAUAAACUAACCGGUACAAUACCGUCAUCUUUAACAAAUUUAAAAAGCUUAUUUGCACUUUUCCUUGCGGGUAAUAAACUAACUGGUACAAUACCAAGGUCUUUAGGAAAUUUAACAAGCUUAAGCAUCCUUUCCCUUGCCGAUAACAAUCUUUGUGGUCCGAUUCCUCCAGAAAUGAACAACCUUACACAUUUGUAUGGGUUACAAAUAAUUUCUAAUAGAUUGUCUGGUAAUCUACCACGAGAUGUGUGCCUUGGUGGAUUACUUUCAUAUUUUGGUGCGUUUGACAAUUAUUUCACGGGACCUAUCCCGAAAAGCUUGAAAAAUUGCAGCAGCUUGGUGAGACUCAGACUUGAGAGAAACCAACUUAGUGGAAACAUAUCUGAAGCUUUUGGCACACAUCCUCAUUUGAACUACAUGGAUUUGAGUGAUAAUGAAUUGCAUGGUGAACUUUCAUUGAAAUGGGAGCAGUUUAACAAUCUGACAGCCUUCAAAUUUCUGGUAACAAGAUUUCUGGAGAGAUACCAGCAGCUCUUGGAAAGGCAACUCAUCUACAAGUUCUUGACCUGUCGUCAAAUCAACUAGUUGGGAGAAUUCCCAAAGAAUUGGGAAAUUUGAAGUUGAUUGAACUUGCACUCAACGAUAACAGACUUUCAGGUGAUAUUCCUUUCGAUGUCGCAUCGCUAUCUGAUCUCGAAAAGCUUGGCCUGGCCGCGAACAAUUUUAGUGCAACAAUUCUUAAACAGCUUGGCAAGUGCUCAAAACUGAUAUUCUUGAAUAUGAGCAAGAAUAGAUUCGCAGGGAGUAUUCCUGCUGAGAUGGGGUCUUUACAGUCUCUUCAAAGUCUUGAUCUCAGUUGGAAUUCCCUCAUGGGAGGUAUAGCACCGGAGCUUGGACAGAUGCAGCAGCUAGAGGUAUUAAACCUCUCCCAUAAUAUGCUGUCUGGUCUAAUUCCAACCAGUUUUAGUAGACUGCAAGGCCUCACUAAAGUGGAUGUAUCCUAUAACAAGCUAGAGGGCCCCAUUCCUGACAUCAAAGCCUUUCGCGAGGCACCAUUUGAAGCAAUUCGCAACAACACCAACCUGUGUGGCAAUGCAACUGGUUUGGAGGCUUGUUCUGCUCUCAUGAAAAACAAAACUGUGAACAAGAAGGGCCCCAAAGUUGUCUUUUUGACAGUAUUCUCUCUGCUGGGUAGUUUGUUGGGCCUGAUUGCAGGUUUUCUUAUCUUUUUCCAAAGCAGAAGAAAGAAAAGGUUAGUGGAAACACCACAAAGAGAUGUUACCGCGAGAUGGUGCCCUGGUGGGGAUCUGCGCUACGAGGACAUCAUUGAGGCUACUGAGGAAUUCGACUCCAAAUAUUGCAUUGGUACUGGAGGGUAUGGAGUUGUAUACAAAGCUGUACUUCCAUCAGAACAAGUCCUUGCCGUGAAGAAAUUCCACCAAACACCAGAAGUUGAGAUGAGCAGCUUGAAAGCUUUUAGAAGCGAGAUUGAUGUCUUAAUGGGUAUACGGCAUCGGAAUAUUGUGAAGCUGUAUGGUUUCUGCUCGCAUGCCAAACACUCAUUUUUGGUAUAUGAAUUUGUGGAAAGGGGAAGUUUAAGAAAGGUACUGAACGACAAGGAACAAGCAGGAAAGAUGGAUUGGGAUAAAAGGAUGAAUCUUAUCAAAGGCGUAGCCAAUGCUUUAUCCUACAUGCACCAUGACUGCUCCCCUCCGAUUAUUCAUAGAGACAUUUCCAGCAACAAUGUUCUUUUGGAUUCAGAAUAUGAGGCUCAUGUCUCUGACUUCGGCACAGCCAGGCUCUUAAUGCCUGACUCGUCCAAUUGGACAUCAUUUGCUGGCACCUUUGGGUACACAGCUCCAGGUAUGUAGUUAAGUUUCAAUAUCACCUUCUACAGUAGGUUAGUUUACAAAAUCACUUGAAAACAAAUAUAGCAUGACCAGCCUCUUUUGCAGAGUUGGCAUACACAAUGAAAGUGGAUGAAAAAUGUGAUGUUUAUAGCUUUGGAGUAUUAACAUUGGAAGUAAUGAUGGGAAAGCAUCCUGGCGAUUUCAUCUCAUCUCUGAUGUUUCUGCCUCCACCUCCUCAUCAUCACCAAUUGGUCACAAUACAGUCUUGAAGGAUGUCUUAGACCAGCGCCUCCCACCUCCUGAAAACGAGCUUGCGGACGGUGUGGCACAUGUUGCAAAACUGGCGUUUGCUUGCUUGCAGACCGAUCCCACUAUCGGCCAACAAUGCGACAGUUUCUACAGAGCUUACAACUCGAUGGCCUCCAUUGCCAAAGCUAUUCUCCACGAUGGAAUUGGAAGAUAUAAUGGUUCACAGAAAUGUUAUUGGCUGAAUUUUUACAGUAUACUUGGGCGUGUUGUGAAAAACAACUUGUUUGCAAAAUGUAAUAUUCAAUAAUCAAGUCAUCGCCAAUAAACCCGUGGCUCAGGUAGCAAUAGCGUCCCCCUCCCUUCAAGAGGUGUUAUUGUCUGUGUUAGAUAUUCCGUCCAAAGAGUCAUGUAAUUUAUUGCCUUCAUUUGCAUCAAUUGCCUUCCUACUACAUAUUUUUUUUGGAGAGUAAUAAACAAUCCAAAUGCCAACACAAAGACCGUACAAUAUUGAUGAACAAAAUUUCCACAAUCAAACCAAACCCGUCCUGGAAAAUCAAAUAACGUCAUUUGUCAUGUUGAAAUUCCAUAUUUAUUUUGCAAAUAAGUAAUACUCAUGAACAUAUCAGGUCUUCACCUACAUGUUCUUGCAAAUCACCAAAUCUCUUACUCAUGAAGAUUCAAGUCUUCAAGUAUUAUUUUGUAAACAAUUUACGAUGUACCCACACAUAAUUUUAAUAAAAACAAAUAUUUUCCACACUUUUAUCUUAAUAUUUUUCAGGCUAACUUGGUUGUAUAAUAAAUAUGCUAGAUGUUCAAUGAGAUUUAAUCCAUAUAAUAGGAGAUGGCCAUCCUCUAAUCUCAAAUCUCUACCCCCUCGACCUUUUCCAGGAUUUGAAUCUAAAAACCUCGUAUUAAAAAUUCAAAACUAUCCGUGGUGUACUUCCCAGCCCUGUGAUAAGGAAUGUUGCUUCUGUUCAAACACUCUGUUGUAGAAUUGUAGACAUAAUUUUCUCUCAAGGUUCAGGCUAAUUUUGUACCUGGAAGGCCAACGGGCCUUGGCAUCAAAACAUUUUGUAAUUUUCAACAGUUUUCAAGGGUUCAUGCGAUUAUGCUGAAUUAUAAGUGGGAUUUCCUGAAUUGAGAGAAGACCAAACCUACAGCCAGAAAAAGUCUAUGUUUAUCAAACAAAAACAGAGCGUUUCUGUAUCUUUCCCUCUAGGUUUCAAAAAAUCUAAUAGAUCUUGCCUUAUGGUAGCCUGCUUCAGUUCCUUACAAAACUUUUAUUAUCGGGUUAGCCAUACACUUUACAUAUUUCAAGCAAUUAACAUGAGCAAUCAAUGGUGUUGUGGAGAUUCCCAGGAAGUGGACAGGGUUGCAGCCUCUAAUUUCCACUUAAAAUUAGUGGAUUCAAUGCGCAGCUGAUUUUUCAAGCAAAGACUGAUUGGAAGGGUAACUUUCAAAUAGUUAAACGAAAUGAGGAAAAGGAGGCAGAGGAAGAGGAAGAUGAGAAAAGAAAUGAAAGUAAGAAAGAUGGGAAGUGUGUCAAAUAGAAGAGCUAAUAUUAGAAGGUGCAUUGGGUACGCCUGAGGAGAGACAACAAUGAAGCAGACAGCAGAGAGCAAAUUAAACAUAAAAAGAGGAAAAAGGGGGAUGGUCAUGACAUGGAUAUCGAGAAAGAAGAGAAAAUAAGCAAGAAGAAGAAAAUGAUUUUCAUAUUUAGAGGAGGGAUUGAGAAGGGAAAUCUGUUCUCUGUACUCUUGACAUCAUUGAUAAUAAUCUACAUGAGAUUUACUCCUGCACUUCAACGCAGCCACAUAAGCACAUGCCCAAACUGAAACAUUUCAUUUAGUUUUCGAGCACCGAGGCGAAGUCCAUUUCCAUGAAAAUGAUAGAGGAUGUACGUGUGCGCUUCUAAUUCAAAACAAAAGGAAAAUAUGUUGAAAAAUCAAACAUUUGAAAACUCACAAAAGAUGGAGCAGGCUGCUUCUCAAAGCAGAACGUGUUUUAUAACACUACAAGGCAAUCAUCCAAUAGCAAACAAAAAUCAAUUAAAGAUGGCAAUAGACCAAAACCUCGUUCAAAUAAAAUUGACAGAUGAAUCAUAUAGCAGUCAAGGGAAAAUAUAAUUGAUAAAAUAUAGGUGAUUCUCUGCUUCAAUUGUGUCAGUGACUAACUUCAGUUGAAGGUUUUAAAGAGGGCAUCUGGAUAUGGGGAUUACUCUUCCUAUAUGGCUACUUGCUGAGUUACUGGAAUAGUGGUGAGUUUCUUGACAGGAAACCACCCAGGAAAAUCAAAUAUAACAGAGACCAAACACAAAAUUUAGGGCAAUAGUAUGUAUCAGCAGGGAGAACCAAGCAUUUCCAGACAAAUGCAAAGUCUUUCGUUAUGGCAUUUGAUGCUUUUGUGGUCUCAAGCAUGAUCCACCUGGUGAUCCCAGAAGUUGUAAAGGCUUGUUGAAGAGACUUGCUUCACCUUCAAGUUUCAUUCUGACCAGCCAACUCAAAACUGUUGAUGUGAGCCAUCAGAGCAAUAAAAUUUCUUCAGCUUCUUUCUACAAUUUUAACAGCUCUUUUCCAUUUUUCUCAAGGUGUAAUUCCAGGAACAUAAGGGACAGCGGGCUUGGGCUUCUUUAUUUUUUCAACCAGCACAGCUUGAGUUGUUAGAACUAUCCCAGCAAUUGAGACAGCACUUUGAAGUGCACACCGAGAAACUCUACAAGGAUCU
rnacentral:lncRNA from 1 species